AUACGGAGGGUGCAAGCGUUACUCGGAAUCACUGGGCGUAAAGCGCACGCAGGCGGCUAUUUAAGUUGGAUGUGAAAGCCUACGGCUCAACCGUAGAACUGCAUCCAAAACUAUUUAGCUAGAGUGUGGGAGAGGAAGAUGGAAUUAGUUGUGUAGGGGUAAAAUCCGUAGAGAUAACUAGGAAUACCAAAAGCGAAGGCAAUCUUCUGGAACACUACUGACGCUGAGGCGCGAAAGCGUGGGGAGCAAACAGGAUUAGAUACCCUAGUAGUCC
rnacentral:rRNA from 1 species